CUGCCCUGUACACACGGAUAACAUACCGAAAGGUAUGCUAAUACGAGAUAAUAUGCUUUUAUCGCAUGGUAGAAGUAUCAAAGCUCCGGCGGUACAGGAUGGACCCGCGUCUGAUUAGCUAGUUGGUAAGGUAACGGCUUACCAAGGCGACGAUCAGUAGCCGACCUGAGAGGGUGAUCGGCCACAUUGGAACUGAGACACGGUCCAAACUCCUACGGGAGGCAGCAGUGGGGAAUAUUGCACAAUGGGCGAAAGCCUGAUGCAGCAACGCCGCGUGAGCGAUGAAGGCCUUCGGGUCGUAAAGCUCUGUCCUCAAGGAAGAUAAUGACGGUACUUGAGGAGGAGGCCCCGGCUAACUACGUGCCAGCAGCCGCGGUAAUACGUAGGGGGCUAGCGUUAUCCGGAAUUACUGGGCGUAAAGGGUGCGUAGGUGGUUUCUUAAGUCAGAGGUGAAAGGCUACGGCUCAACCGUAGUAAGCCUUUGAAACUGGGAAACUUGAGUGCAGGAGAGGAGAGUGGAAUUCCUAGUGUAGCGGUGAAAUGCGUAGAUAUUAGGAGGAACACCAGUUGCGAAGGCGGCUCUCUGGACUGUAACUGACACUGAGGCACGAAAGCGUGGGGAGCAAACAGGAUUAGAUACCCUGGUAGUCCACGCCGUAAACGAUGAGUACUAGCUGUCGGAGGUUACCCCUUUCGGUGGCGCAGCU
rnacentral:rRNA from 1 species